GACCCGCCGCGCGCGCGCCCGCCCUUCUCGCCGCAGGUUCGGGGGCCUUGGGUCCCCGCGGGCUCCGCGGCCUCCAGGUCACCGGGAGGCUCGGCAGCGCCGCCUCGGAGACUGUCCUCACCCUCCCCUCGAUGGCGAAGCGGCCAGGGCGUGACCUACCAGAGCCACCUAGCCAGUGUGUGCGGCAGCCCACCAGAACCUGGGCCCGGGAUCACCCCAGGAUCCUCCCACCUCGGCCUCCCAAAGCUCUGGGAUCACACCUGUCCAUCUCAGACUGUUACAACUGAAGAAGGGGCCCUCGGAGAUCAUCCAGCCCAUCCCCCUCAUUUCACAGCAAAGACGUGAGCUGGAAGCUUCACAAAAACACACAGUUCCCAGGCUUCAGCUGGAGUGCAAUGGCACGAUCUUGGCUCAUGGCAACCUCUGGCUCCCGAGUUCAAGUAAUUCUCCUGCUUCAGCCUCCCGAGUAGCUGGGAUUACAGGUAUGCACCACCACGCCCGGCUAAUUUUUUGUAUUUUGUUUUAGUAGA